AUGCUUGCUUCAGCAGCACAUAUACUAAAACUGGAACAAAACAGAGAAGGUUAGCAUGGCC
rnacentral:snRNA from 1 species